UCGAAAAAGAAAAAAAAAUGAGCAAGAGAGAAAGAGAAAGAAGCAAUGGGAGUUGUUAGAAGAAAAAUGGAGAGUUUAUUUCACAUUCUAAUUUCUACCUGCCUGGCUUUUGGGAUCUCUGGUGGUUUUCUUAUUAUCCAUGAGCAAAAACAGCAAUGUAUUUAUGAGAGCAAUAAAACAGUAUAUGUGGGAACAUGCAACUUGACCAAUAUAAACCAGCAGUGGAGAUGGAUGAAGAAUGAAAAGCUCCUCCAUGUUAGAUCUGGCCAAUGUCUGGCUAUCAGCAGGUUUAAGGCGGCCCAUUCGCGCAAAGCCAUCACCACCAACUGCUCUGAGGCACCCAGUUGGACCUGUCACAGCAGGGAAGGACUCCUUGAGGUGAAAAACAGCUUUCUGUUCCUCAAGAAACAAGGCACAACGGUAGUAGUGAAGAUGGGGAGGAAAUAUCUUCAUAGUUGGAAAAGAAUUGACGUCAACAAGAAGGGAGAGACUCUCCAUGACAACCUGUGCUCAAGGAAUGAUUUUGAAGACGCUGAAACAUUUGUUCAAACCACUAGAAAUACAGCCCUUACAUUUAAUUCUAUAACACAUAGUCCACAGAAUGUUCUUGGCACUAGCAGUACGGUGGUUUUCAUCAGCAAUGUCACAGAAAGCAACAAUGAAAACAUGGGCAAAGUCAAUCCUACCCAGAGUGUACUUGAAGUGACAAAAACACCCUGGAUUCCCACACCUACCCAUCAUUUCUCUACCACCAAAGAACAGAGUGGUCUAGGAGCUCCAGUAAAAUGCACCAUCAACCAGACAGAGUGGAAGGUCUCCAGCCAGUCUGUCCAUCUCAGGUGGAACAGUUUGGGAUAUCCCUGUAACUUCAGCGUUACCUGCAACUCCCACAAUGCCUUGUACAGGGUUUGCCAGCCCAUCCAGAAAGUCAACGGUUCCUAUGAUUGUGACUACAACGGCUUGGAAGCAGGGACUUGGUACUAUAUCAGGAUUGUCUCUCUGUCUGAUGGAGAAACCAGCAAUGUCACAUUGCAAACAGACCCCUUGCCACCUGCGAGAUUUGAAAUUAAAAAAGAAGGAAUUACAACCACAACCUUGCAGGUGUGGUGGAGCCCAUCCUUAGGAAAAGUAGACUGGUAUGAGCUGCAGUUACUUGAGAGUAACACCAACAAAGUCUAUGAUAUCCAAGUUCCCGGAGGCCUUUCAAGAAAUGAGCAGACAUUUGCCAAUCUCACCCCUGGCAGCAGAUACACUAUAUCGAUCAGUGCAGCUGCUGGAGAUAAAAAGAGCCAUUCAACUAACAUCAGUGGUUCUACUGCUCCUUCGCCAGUAGAAAAUAUCCAGGUCUUAGCCAAUGCUGAAACAAUCCAUGUUUCGUGGUUGCCAGGUGCUGGGAAUGUGGAUCAAUACAGGCUGGUUUUGCUGGAUAAAGAUGGUCCAGUGCAACAAACGGAUCUAGAGAAACACUAUUUGGCAUACAAUUUUUCAGGACUAACACCAGGACGUCUGUAUAAUCUCACUAUCAUUUCCAAAGCUGCAGGGCUGGAGAACUACAAUUUUAGACUAAUUAGGACUGUUCCAGCCAAAGUUUUAGAUUUGGUGGUAACUAAUGAUGGCAGCUUGGAUACCCUAAAAGUGACGUGGAAGGGGCCUCCAGGAAACCUUGAUUUCUACAAUGUUACCUUGUUUCAUCUUGGAUCUGUUAAAGAAAGGAAAUCUUUAGAACCACACAUCACAGGGACAUACUUCAACAAACUAAUAUCGGGACGUCUUUAUCAAGUUGAUGUCAACACAGUCAGUGGUGAAUUGUUCACUGAAGCGACAGCAUAUGGCAGGACAGUUCCCCAGAAAGUUUCAGAGCUGAAAGCCGACAGCAUGGGCUUGUUAAGAGCUCUGAAAGUGAGCUGGUUGCCCCCUUCUGGAGACUGGGAGAAGUACUGUAUUGUGCUGUUUGACCAUGCUACGGUGCUGCUGAAUACUACAGUGGAGAAAGACCAAAGGGAAUAUAUUAUCACUGGUUUAGGGCUUAUUCCAGGAAGACAGUAUGAGGUGGAAGUUACUGUUGUAAGUGGAGGCUUGAAGAACACAGCGCGCUGCAAAGGCAGAACAGCUCCACAGCCAGUUCUCCAGCUCCGUGUAAAGCACGCCAAUGAAUCCUCUCUCACCAUCAUGUGGGUGACGCCUCUGGCUGAGUGGGAUGGUUACGUGGUUUCACUGGGAGACAGAAGCCUCACAGUCAUAAACAAGGCUCUUGCGAAAGAAGCCAAAGAAUUCACUUACACAGACCUGUUACCUGGACGGAAGUACACGGCUACAGUCACCAGCAUAAGUGGGGAUCUGAGCAAUAGGACCUCUGUUGUGGGACGCACAGUUCCGGCACAAGUGACAAGCUUAAAUGUGGCAAACCAAGGAACAAGCAACAGCCUAUUCACCAGCUGGAUAAGGGCCCAUGGAGAUGUGGAUUCUUACCAAGUGUUACUCAUUCACGAAAACGUUGUCAUAAAAAACGAAAGUGUUCCUAGCGACACCAACAAAUACCACUUCCAGUCUCUAAAACCUGGAGGGCUCUACUCAGUGGUUGUCACCACGGUUAGUGGAGGAGUAUCUUCAAGACAAGCAAUCGCAGAAGGGAGAACAGUUCCUUCCAGUGUAAGCGGAGUAACAGUGAACAAUUCAGGGCGGAGCGAUUACCUCAGUAUUUCCUGGCUGCCAGCUGUUGGAGAUGUAGACAGCUAUUUGGUAACGCUCUCUCAUAAAGGGCAGACUGUUCAUACUGUCACCAUUGCAAAAUCUGCCAACGAAUGUUCCUUCAACACCCUCACUCCUGGGCGACUCUAUGAUGUGACAAUAACUACAAAGAGUGGAAAAUAUGAAAAGCAAUCCUUCAGUCAGGAAAGAACAGUGCCUUCAAGCGUCCAGGGACUUACAGUGAGCAAUUCUGCAAGAAGUGACUAUUUAAAGGUGUCUUGGCUACACGCCACAGGAGACUAUGAUAAUUAUGAAGUGAUCAUCAAGCACAACAAUGACUUCAUCCAAACAAAAACCGUCCCCAAGGAUGAAAACGAAAGUGUGUUCACUAACUUGGUUCCGGGAAGACUUUAUAGCGUCACAGUCAGCACAAAGAGUGGAAAAUAUGAGACUAGUGAAAGGGCCAGUGGAAGGACAGUCCCAGAAUCUGUAAAGAAAUUGACUCUAAGUGGCAAAAGCACUGAAGAGCUGUAUAUUACUUGGUCCAAAGCUGAUGGUGAUGUUGAUCAGUAUGAGAUACAGCUUCUGUUCAACGACAUGAAGGUUUUCCCACCCAAUCACCUGGAAAACACCUUUGAAGAAUUCAGGUUCACAACUCUAACUCCAGGACGCCUUUACAAAAUUGUUGUCAUCACAAUUAGUGGAAAAGCACAACGAGCUACUUUUAUACAAGGACUGACAGUUCCAAGCGCUGUCAAAAACAUUCAUAUUUCACCCAACGGAAUGACGAACAGCUUGAAAGUGGUUUGGACCCAUGCAGGAGGAGAUGUUGAUUCCUAUACGGUCACUAUAUUCAAUCAGAACCACCCCCUUGAUACCCAGACCGUUUCCAAAAAUGUGAAUGAUCACACAUUUAACAAACUGGAAGCAGGGGAGCUGUACAAGGUUGUUGUACAGACAAGGAGUGGAACCUUGCACAACAACUCCACAGCCUUUGGGCGAACAAUCCCUGCUCCUGUUCAGAAAUUACAUGCAGACAAUGCAUACAGCAGUUACUCGUUGGUUGUAACCUGGCAAAGUGCUGCUGGUGUGGCUGAACGAUACGACAUCCUGCUUCUGACUGAGCACGGCAUCUCUCUGAGCAACAAAUCAGAGCCAGCUACUGCUAAGCAACACAAAUUUGAAGAUUUAACACCAGGGAAGAAGUAUAAAGUACAAAUAUUGACAGUCAGCGGUGGCCUCUUCAGCCGUCGGGCAGAAACUGAAGGCCGAACAGCUCCAGCAGCUGCCACAAAUCUGAAGGUCACAAAUACCACCACUGGGUGCCUGUCAUUUAGCUGGACAACUUCUCAGGGAGAGCUGGACAAAUAUGAAAUCUUUCUAUAUAACCCAGACCAAUCUCUCCAGGACAGAACUUCAGGAGACCAGACGCUCAAGCAGUAUUCUUUCCAGAACUUAGUACAAGGAAGGUUGUACAAAAUGGUGAUUGUUACCCACAGUGGCAAGCUUACUAAUGAAUCAUCCAUCUUUGGGAGAACAGUUCCAGCCUCAGUUACCAAUCUCAAAGGAUUCAAUAAAAACAUGACAGAGAGUUUGUGGUUUACCUGGGACCCAGCAGCAGGAGAUGUUGACUCCUAUGAACUGAAUCUCUAUAACCCAAAUGGCACACAGAAAGAAGCACAGUACGGAAAAGACUUGACAGAAUGGCACUUCCAGGGCUUAGUCCCUGGCGGAAUAUACACCCUUGUUGUAGUUACCUAUAGUGGUGACCUGACGAAUACAGCAGAUACUAAAGGCAGAACAGUGCCAAUCCCUCCGAAUACAGUGUCAUUUGCUGAUGUCACCAACACCUCCUUGUCCAUCAUGUGGUUGGGCCCUCCUGACUGGACAGAUUAUGAUGACUUCGAACUUCAAUGGACCCCAAGGGAGACCCUCACAGUUUCCAAUCCUUACAGUAGUAGCAAAUCAAAAGGACGCAAAAUAAAUGGACUCCACCCAGGGAGACUGUAUCACUUCAGUGUUAAGAGUGUUAGUGGAAUCAUUCAUAAAACGUACAGUAAAUCACUUUCUGGAACUGUGAGAACAAGGCCGGACAAGAUACAAAGUUUGCAUUGCCGACCACAGAACUCGACUGCCAUUGCUUGCUCCUGGAUCCCUCCUGACUCUGAUUUUGAUGGAUAUAGUAUUGAGUGCAAAAAAAUGGACACUGCGGAGAUUGAGUUCUCCAGAAGAAUAGAGAGGGAGAGAUCUGUGUAUAACAUCAUGACCCUCGUGCCCCAUACAAGAUACUUGGUGUCCAUCAAAGUGCAGUCAGCCGACAUGACCAGUGAGGUGGUAGAAGACAAUACCAUCACUAUGAUAGACCGCCCUCCACCACCAGCAGCACAUAUUCGAGUGAACAAAAAGGAUGCAGUCAUUACCAAAUCUUCCAUCCACUUCGCUUUCAAUUGCAGCUGGUUCAGUGACACCAAUGGAGCUGUGAAAUACUUUACAGUGGUUGUGAGAGAAGCUGAUGGCAGUGAAGAACAGAAGCCAGAACAGCAUCACCCUUUGCCUUCUUACUUGGAAUACAAACACAACAACUCCAUCCAAAUCUAUCAAACAGAUUAUUUUGCAAGUAAAUGCACUGAAAGCCCUGACAGUGUUUCGAAGAGCUUUGAUAUUAAGCUUGGAGCAGAGAUGGAAAAUCUGGGAGGAAAGUGUGAUCCAAAUCAGCAGAAAUAUUGCGAUGGGCCACUAAAACCCAGGACUGCCUAUAGGAUCAGCAUCCGGGCUUUCACACAACUCUUCAAAGAAGAUCUGAAGGAACUUCCUGAGCCCCUGUUCUCUGAUACCUAUUUCUCUUUGCCAAUUAUUACCGAGUCAGAGCCCUCACUUGGAGUUGUCGAAGGGGUGAGCGCUGGCCUGUUCCUAAUAAUUAUGCUGGUGGCUGUUACUGCAUUGCUUGUCUGCAGACGGAAAGCAAAUAGUGGCCAUGAAAGACCAACGGUGAGAAUGAGCAUUCGCAGGGACAGGCCGCUCUCUGUUCACCUGGGACAAAAAGGGAGCAGGAAAAUGUCCAGCCCAGUAAAAGUCAGUCAGUUUGAAAUGCACUUCACCAAACUCCAAGCAGACUCAAACUACCUCCUGUCAAAGGAAUAUGAGGAUCUAAAGGAUGUGGGUCGAAACCAAUUGUGUGACAUAGCACUUUUGCCAGAGAACAGAGGGAAAAAUCGAUACAAUAAUAUAUUGCCCUAUGACACAACGAGAGUGAAACUUUCAAAUGUAGAUGAUGACCCAUGCUCUGACUAUAUCAAUGCAAGCUACAUCCCAGGCAAUAAUUUUCGCAGGGAAUAUAUCGCAACUCAAGGACCUCUGCCCGGCACAAAGGAUGAUUUCUGGAAAAUGGCAUGGGAACAGAAUGUUCACAAUGUUGUCAUGGUAACCCAAUGUGUUGAAAAGGGUCGGGUGAAAUGUGACCAUUACUGGCCCUUUGAUCAGGACUCCUUAUAUUAUGGAGACUUAAUAGUCCAGAUGCUAUCUGAGUCAGUGCUCCCAGAAUGGACAAUAAGAGAGUUUAAGGUUUGCAGUGAAGAGCAGCUUGAUUCCUCUAGACUCAUUCGUCAGUUCCAUUACACGGUGUGGCCAGACCAUGGUGUACCAGAAACCACCCAGUCCCUCAUCCAGUUUGUGAGAACAGUACGAGAUUAUAUCAACCGAACACCCCAUGCAGGACCAACCAUAGUACACUGCAGUGCUGGAGUUGGAAGAACAGGCACCUUUAUUGCACUGGAUCGAAUUCUUCAGCAGUUGGACUCAAAAGAUUCUGUGGAUAUUUACGGGGCUGUGCAUGACCUGAGGCUUCACAGGGUCCACAUGGUCCAAACAGAGUGUCAGUAUGCGUAUUUACAUCAAUGUGUGAGAGACGUCUUAAGAGCAAGAAAGCUACGCAGUGAACAGGAAAACCCAUUGUUUCCAAUAUAUGAAAAUGUGAAUCCAGAGUAUCACAGAGAACUAAAGUUCCCAGAGUUCCCUGGGGUAAGGAAUGAUGGCUUGACCAGUUCAAAGCUAUAACUCCAGAUGGGAGGAAGUCCUACAAAACUAUGCAACACUUGCAUCUGAGUAGACAAGUUUAGAACAGCACUAUGCUGUUUAUUCAAGGCACUAAAGCUCCAACAGAUUCCUGCUUGUUGCAGUUGUAUCUGUUUGUUUGUUUU